rnacentral:rRNA from 1 species
CAGGCUUAACACAUGCAAGUCGAGGGGCAGCAUGGUCUUAGCUUGCUAAGGCCGAUGGCGACCGGCGCACGGGUGAGUAACACGUAUCCAACCUGCCGUCUACUCUUGGACAGCCUUCUGAAAGGAAGGUUAAUACAAGAUGGCAUCAUGAGUCCGCAUGUUCACAUGAUUAAAGGUAUUCCGGUAGACGAUGGGGAUGCGUUCCAUUAGAUAGUAGGCGGGGUAACGGCCCACCUAGUCUUCGAUGGAUAGGGGUUCUGAGAGGAAGGUCCCCCACAUUGGAACUGAGACACGGUCCAAACUCCUACGGGAGGCAGCAGUGAGGAAUAUUGGUCAAUGGGCGAGAGCCUGAACCAGCCAAGUAGCGUGAAGGAUGACUGCCCUAUGGGUUGUAAACUUCUUUUAUAAAGGAAUAAAGUCGGGUAUGGAUACCCGUUUGCAUGUACUUUAUGAAUAAGGAUCGGCUAACUCCGUGCCAGCAGCCGCGGUAAUACGGAGGAUCCGGGCGUUAUCCGGAUUUAUUGGGUUUAAAGGGAGCGUAGAUGGAUGUUUAAGUCAGUUGUGAAAGUUUGCGGCUCAACCGUAAAAUUGCAGUUGAUACUGGAUAUCUUGAGUGCAGUCGAGGCAGGCGGAAUUCGUGGUGUAGCGGUGAAAUGCUUAGAUAUCACGAAGAACUCCGAUUGCGAAGGCAGCCUGCUAAGCUGCAACUGACAUUGAGGCUCGAAAGUGUGGGUAUCAAACAGGAUUAGAUACCCUGGUAGUCCACACGGUAAACGAUGAAUACUCGCUGUUUGCGAUAUACUGCAAGCGGCCAAGCGAAAGCGUUAAGUAUUCCACCUGGGGAGUACGCCGGCAACGGUGAAACUCAAAGGAAUUGACGGGGGCCCGCACAAGCGGAGGAACAUGUGGUUUAAUUCGAUGAUACGCGAGGAACCUUACCCGGGCUUAAAUUGCAGAUGAAUUACGGUGAAAGCCGUAAGCCGCAAGGCAUCUGUGAAGGUGCUGCAUGGUUGUCGUCAGCUCGUGCCGUGAGGUGUCGGCUUAAGUGUCAUAACGAGCGCAACCCUUGUUGUCAGUUACUAACAGGUUCCGCUGAGGACUCUGACAAGACUGCCAUCGUAAGAUGUGAGGAAGGUGGGGAUGACGUCAAAUCAGCACGGCCCUUACGUCCGGGGCUACACACGUGUUACAAUGGGGGGUACAGAGGGCCGCUACCACGCGAGUGGAUGCCAAUCCCCAAAACCUCUCUCAGUUCGGACUGGAGUCUGCAACCCGACUCCACGAAGCUGGAUUCGCUAGUAAUCGCGCAUCAGCCACGGCGCGGUGAAUACGUUCCCGGGCCUUGUACACACCGCCCGUCAAGCCAUGGGAGCCGGGGGUACCUGAAGUGCGUAACCGCGAGGAGCGCCCUAGGGUAAAACUGGUGACUGGGGCUAAGUCG